UUCCUGAGCUUUCUCACGCCGUGAGCGCGCUUUUCACCACAUGCCAGGAUUCAACUUCUCAAUAGACUUCCAGUAUCGGAUUCGCUCGCCGCUCCUCUCUCUCACUCCCUCUCUUGCCCGCGAUUGUGCGCUGUGAUAUAUUCCCUUCUCUGAUAAGACUUCGUAAUCAGACUUCGUAACAAGACUUUGUAAGCAGACAUAGUAAUGAAACGUUGCUGUAAGACUAUUAUCAGACUUUGUAACCAGACGUUGUAACAAGACUUUGUAAACAGGCAGUAUAAUAAGACAUUGAUGCUAUAAUCAGACUUCGUAAUAAAGCAUUGUUGUAAAACUACUGUAUGAUCAGACUUUGCAAUCAGACUUUGUGAUAUUUUGUAACAAAACUUUGUAGCCAGACGUUGUAAUAAAACGUUGCCGUAAGACUUUAUUAUUGUCAGAUUUUGUAAUCCCACUUUGCAACAAGACUUUGUAAUGCUAUUCUUCCUCACGCAUGCUGUGUUGACAACUGUUGUGAGUGAUUCUUUCUGGAUUUACUUCAAACGAAAAAUCAGUUGCCUCCAACCUGGAGUUUGUUAGUGCCGUGCAAAAUGUGCUGUUUUUAGUGUUCCCGAAGAGAAGCAACCUGGAUCCACCGAGGGUACCGUCAAGUUCCGGGCCUAUCGCUGAGGACUUGUGAAUUCUGUGACGUGGAUUGCACGGCAGCUGACAACAAUAUUGUUCAAUUUUCUGAAAGUCUUGGAGUGAACAGAUGACGUAAGAAACGUGCACAAUUCUUGAGCUGGAUCUAGAAACGUUAAAAUACACUGUGUACGGAUUAUUUCAGUGGAUAACACAGACCACUAGCACCACUCGGACUGUUGUGUGGAAAUGACAUAUUGCCAUUUCAAAUCUGGUGAAUAUUUCAACCGUGGGAGUGUCUGUGAAACUCAGACUAGACAUUUUCACAUUUAAGUGCCACAAAGAUAUCUGUAAAAGUUAUUUAGCUAAAUAA